CCAGUCAUGGAUGGGGCCAUAAAGAACUGUUUCCAGCCACCUGAACAGUGGAAACGGGAAGCGAGGGCAGCUGGAGGGGGGAGCGUGCACCAGCUGGCCCUGCUCCUGAGGCAUUAUAACUGGAUUCUUUGGGGUAGAAGGGUGUGAGGUCUCAGGUCAUUUCCUGCCAGGUUUGCUCUGAAUGGGAGAGGGAUAUGUAAUUGUGCUGUCUCCUUGUACCAUUAGUGUCAAGACUCAUUAGGAACUCAAUCUACUCAGUGGCAGUAGGCAUACAAAAGAAAGAACUAGCCAAAGUCUGCAGACUGCAGAGCAGGAGUUGGUGGAGGAAGCAAUUGUAAAUUCCCGUCUGGGUAAUUAGAGUCAGCAGGGAAUCAGAUUGGCUACGGCAGGGCUUUCAUUUUUCCCCUUGCUGUUUUAACGGGAUUGGCAGGUGCUGCUUUAUUCCAGGGGUGAGGUGAUGUGCCUGUGUCAUAAUUCACAAUGAGAAAUGAUCAUCAAUUUGCUACCAUGCUCCUGGGGUUCCUGGCUGCAAUGAAUCAGCUCAGAUCUAUAAGCUGCUUAGACCUUCCAAGCACUGUAGCUUAAAUAAUGGCAAUAGAAGCUUCGUUAGCUCCUGAUUUUUAUAGGUUUAAACACAGAAAAGAGGGAGCCAAUAUCUGUAGCCUCCUUUGGCUGCAGGGAGAGGGAGAGCUCUGCCUGGUUUCUUAGGAGCACCUAAUAGAGCAAGACACUCCCCAGUGCUGGGUGCAUGAGCUUUUCCUGCUCUAUCACCCUACUAAAGGUUUGUAGAAUUUUCGUAGGUGACAAGGAAGGAGCUGAGGAGUGAUGCACCAGGGCUGGGAGUCACUACUAAGUGCUGUCCUAGCCUGCCACCCAGUGCUAGUUUCUGGCACUCUGAGUUGCUAAUGCGCUCCAGCAAUGCAACUGGUACCUGGCAUGCCCUGGACUGGCUCUCCCUGGACCCUGCUGGAAUAUUCCUUUCUCUGACUUACUGAAACAUAUAUUCAGGUCCUGUUUUAAAUAAGCGAUGUUUUAAAAUGGGCUGGCUUUGGAGAAAUGUGUGACAACUUCUUCAGAUUCCUUCUUGAGUACUGUGGGCUCAGAGUAGGCAAUAAAUGGCUCUUGGGUGUUGCACACUCAGCAGGUGAUGGGCGAGCCUAGCUUCUGGGUUUAGUGAGCCUUAAGCAAGAAGGAAAAGCUAUUAUUUCUGGUCUUGUUUUUCCAGGACAGCUUAGGAAGGAUCAGAGCUGCACAAUCCGUCAGCAUGGUGAUGGAUCCAAACCAAUGCAUCCACAAAAUGAUGCUAAAGUUGGCAACAGUUUUCUAGCUGAGAUCAGUGUGUAUCAUCAUUAUAACAAACAGCUAGCAGCUAGGGAGAGGUGAUAAUUUCUAAAGAUACCACAAAACUGCUUGAACACCAGAGGUGCAGGGGAGGAAGGAAUAUUUUCUUGGAAAAGCAAGAAUGGUUAACAGUGUUGUGGAUCUGGCUGUUCCAGGGAGAUGAUGGAAGAUGGUGGUGCAGAUGACAUGUUUUCAUUCACAUGACUCAUGAUAUCCACAAAACAAUCCUCCUAUUACAAGGCUAAAGUGCAGC